rnacentral:misc_RNA from 1 species
UCUCCGUUGGUGAACCAGCGGAGGGAUCAUUACCGAGUUUACAACUCCCAAACCCAAUGUGAACGUUACCAAACUGUUGCCUCGGCGGGGUCACGCCCCGGGUGCGUCGCAGCCCCGGAACCAGGCGCCCGCCGGAGGAACCAACCAAACUCUUUCUGUAGUCCCCUCGCGGACGUUAUUUCUUACAGCUCUGAGCAAAAAUUCAAAAUGAAUCAAAACUUUCAACAACGGAUCUCUUGGUUCAG